rnacentral:lncRNA from 1 species
AUUUACAAUGACAAGUGGGCCCACGAAUGACUAGAAGUAUCAAAAGAAUCGAACCUACAUAUUUUGAGGAUGCCAUUCCAAUUAUAGUCCUCGAUGAAAUGAGCUAUUUACUGACUAUCCUGAUGCCUGAAAGGGCUGAAAAGGAGGGUGGUGAGAUUAUAUAGUCCUAGUGAAUAAACGAAUAUCAUUUAAAAUAUCUAAAGGCGAGUAACAGGAGACUAGUAAAACAUUUCAUCCAAAUAUGUUUUUCAGAACACAAAUAUUCAUUUCAUUUAAAAACAUUAAUAUGGCUUAUGAGUAUCUUAAAAGCUUGGCUCGUGCUAGAAAUCAUUAUCAUACUCAGUUAUCAGGAAUACCUUGGUCUAGGGUUAUCCCAAACUGAGUCCGCCAAGGCUAUUAAAAAGUUAUGUACGCAUAAAACAUGUUUUCAUUUUGAAAAUAUAACCAUUCCUUGGCAUUGGCCGAGUUCCCCCUCACGUGAUGGUUUAGCGUGAAGUGAACUCUAAAGUCAUACCUCGAGAGUUAUCCUAUUCGCUUCUCCAACUGAGGUAAAAUAUAUAAAUAUCAAGAUUUUGUGCCCCUCUAAUAGGCUGGUCCACAGAUUCCACCUACUGUAGCAAGCUAAACCCACCAUAAAAUAAAAUUUUGACAGCAUGACAAGGCUAAUAUUUUACUACCCAGCCUGCAAGGGUAAAAUAAGGCAAUCCAUACAAUUCAUAAAACACAGCCCAGCCAGUCAUGCCAACACAAUAACAAUAUAACAUAAGCCAUCUAUUUCUAAUAAUAAAUUUACAACAUACCAGUGGUCUCCAAUUACUCUAUUUUCAAAAUUUUUAUUUCGUUUCAAGACAAUUUAUAAAAUCUUUUCAUUUAAAUUCAUUUUUGUUUAUAAAACCUAAAAUUUACCAUUUAAUUCAUUUUCAUAAAAUUUCACCAAAUCUGAAUUAAAACAUAGUUUAGAUAAUUAAAAUGAUGAUAGGGUUACUCACAGUACUAGAAGUUCGAUAUACUCCUAUUCCCGAUCUUUGGGCACAAUCUCUUUAGCCUUGUUAGAGGGCUCACCACCUAUACAUCAUACGUGACACAAAUUUCAAUAAAUUGUGUCAAUUUAUCAUAAACUAUUUUAGGCUCUAUAAAUCUAUAUGAAUGCACGAAAUGUGAUGCAAAAUGUCUAAAUAGCCGUUUAAAUAGGUAUUCGACCUAAUUCGCACUAUUCUCGAUGUAAUUGGCUAAAACCUCCAAUUUAACUCCAAAUCAAUUUCUUUCACUUUCUACACUCCAAUUAUACAUAAAUUACCUCAGUGACUGUGAAUGAGAUUCAAUUUAUCAGUCCUGGGUCAAUAAUCACACAUGUCUAUACAUUAGGUAAAAAUUCAGAUUUUCACACCAAAAUUUCCCAUUUAAUUUCUAGUCUCACCAAACAUCAAAUAUCACCAAAAUAUCAUGAAAUAUCAUCAAUUUCAGCCACAAUAUCCUCCCUAGGAAAUUCAGCCAUUGAUGGUUGAUGGGGAAACUGAAUUCUUUUCUUGUUGUUUUGUUUCUAAAUAUGCUAAACUAACUAAAAACACUAACAUAACUUAAAAUCAAUUCAAUCUAACAUCUUUCUCUCUCCAUACCCAUUUUGACCAGCCAUGAAUUUACCAUGAAAACAUGAAAUCUAACCAUGGAAAAUAAGGAAAAAUGCAUGGGAAAAAUAGAUCACAAGUCAAAAUCAAGAAAUUUUACCUUUGAUUGCUUGAUUACUUGAAAUCCACCAAUUUUCCCUUGAAUUUUCCCACCUAGGGUUCUUAAUCUUAUUUUCCUCUCUUUGUUCUUGCUAUGGCUG